AGGGAAUCUUCGGCAAUGGACGGAAGUCUGACCGAGCAACGCCGCGUGAGUGAAGAAGGUUUUCGGAUCGUAAAGCUCUGUUGUAAGAGAAGAACGAGUGUGAGAGUGGAAAGUUCACACUGUGACGGUAUCUUACCAGAAAGGGACGGCUAACUACGUGCCAGCAGCCGCGGUAAUACGUAGGUCCCAAGCGUUGUCCGGAUUUAUUGGGCGUAAAGCGAGCGCAGGCGGUUAGAUAAGUCUGAAGUUAAAGGCUGUGGCUUAACCAUAGUACGCUUUGGAAACUGUUUAACUUGAGUGCAAGAGGGGAGAGUGGAAUUCCAUGUGUAGCGGUGAAAUGCGUAGAUAUAUGGAGGAACACCGGUGGCGAAAGCGGCUCUCUGGCUUGUAACUGACGCUGAGGCUCGAAAGCGUGGGGAGCAAACAGGAUUAGAUACCCUGGUAGUCCACGCCGUAAACGAUGAGUGCUAGGUGUUAGACCCUUUCCGGGGUUUAGUGCCGUAGCUAACGCAUUAAGCACUCCGCCUGGGGAGUACGACCGCAAGGUUG
rnacentral:rRNA from 1 species